CAAGGCGACGAUCCCUAGCUGGUCUGAGAGGAUGACCAGCCACACUGGAACUGAGACACGGUCCAGACUCCUACGGGAGGCAGCAGUGGGGAAUAUUGCACAAUGGGCGCAAGCCUGAUGCAGCCAUGCCGCGUGUAUGAAGAAGGCCUUCGGGUUGUAAAGUACUUUCAGCGGGGAGGAAGGUGUUGUGGUUAAUAACCGCAGCAAUUGACGUUACCCGCAGAAGAAGCACCGGCUAACUCCGUGCCAGCAGCCGCGGUAAUACGGAGGGUGCAAGCGUUAAUCGGAAUUACUGGGCGUAAAGCGCACGCAGGCGGUCUGUCAAGUCGGAUGUGAAAUCCCCGGGCUCAACCUGGGAACUGCAUUCGAAACUGGCAGGCUUGAGUCUUGUAGAGGGGGGUAGAAUUCCAGGUGUAGCGGUGAAAUGCGUAGAGAUCUGGAGGAAUAC
rnacentral:rRNA from 3 species